rnacentral:tRNA from 1 species
GCCCAAGAAGCUACUAACUAAGCAAUGGUUUUGUAAACCUUAGAAGGCUGAAAGCCCUAGGGCU